rnacentral:rRNA from 1 species
GUCAAGUAAGAAUACCCGCUGAACUUAAGCAUAUCAAUAAGCGGAGGAAAAGAAACUAACUAGGGUUCCCUUAGUAACGGCGAGUGAACCGGGAAGAGCUCAAAUUUUAAAUCACCUUGGUGAAUUGUAAUUUGAAGAAAGUGUUUUGACUUUUCAGUUUAAUCCAAAUCCUUUGGGAUGAGGUAUCACAGAGGGUGAGAAUCCCGUUCGUGAUUAGACCUCGGAAUGCAUUAAUUCACUUUCUAAGAGUCGAGUUGUUUGGGAUUGCAGCUCUAAAUGGGUGGUAAAUUUCACCUAAGGCUAAAUAUAUGCAAGAGACCGAUAGCGAACAAGUACCGUGAGGGAAAGAUGAAAAGAACUUUGAAAAGAGAGUUAAACAGUACGUGAAAUUGUUGAAGGGGAAACGAUUGAAGUCAGUCAUGCUAGUGAGGAAUCAACUUGGUGGUUUACUUCCUUGUGUAUUUUCUUACUUGGCAGGUUAGCAUCAAUUUUGGUUGUCAUCAAAUAACUGGGGGAAUGUGGCUUUUCUUCGGGAAAGUGUUAUAGACCUUGAUAGAUGUGGCGACUGAGAUUGAGGUUUGCAGCGAAUGCCUUGGGCUAGUCAUCUGUCUUCUGACCGUCACCUCGCUUUUGACAGCUUGCUGAUGAUUGCGGGAUUUGGUGGCCUAGAAGUUAGAAUGUACAUAAAUUCGCUAAGGAUGCUGACGUAAUGGCUUUAAACGACCCGUCUUGAAACACGGACCAAGGAGUCUAACAUAUGUGCGAGUGUU